AUUGAACGCUGGCGGCAGGCCUAACACAUGCAAGUCGAGCGGAUGAAGGGAGCUUGCUCCUGGAUUCAGUGGCGGACGGGUGAGUAAUGCCUAGGAAUCUGCCUGGUAGUGGGGGAUAACGUCCGGAAACGGGCGCUAAUACCGCAUACGUCCUGAGGGAGAAAGUGGGGGAUCUUCGGACCUCACGCUAUCAGAUGAGCCUAGGUCGGAUUAGCUAGUUGGUGGGGUAAAGGCCUACCAAGGCGACGAUCCGUAACUGGUCUGAGAGGAUGAUCAGUCACACUGGAACUGAGACACGGUCCAGACUCCUACGGGAGGCAGCAGUGGGGAAUAUUGGACAAUGGGCGAAAGCCUGAUCCAGCCAUGCCGCGUGUGUGAAGAAGGUCUUCGGAUUGUAAAGCACUUUAAGUUGGGAGGAAGGGCAGUAAGUCAAUACCUUGCUGUUUUGACGUUACCAACAGAAUAAGCACCGGCUAACUUCGUG
rnacentral:rRNA from 1 species